AGCGAACGCUAGCGGCAGGCUUAACACAUGCAAGUCGAGCGCCAGGUUUCGGCCUGGAGCGGCGAACGGGUGAGUAACACGUAGGUCACGUACCCUAUGGUGGGGAAUACCCCGGGGAAACUCGGAUCAAUGCCCCAUCUGUCCGAACGGAUGAAAGCGCUUCGGCGCGCCAGAGGAUCGGCCUGCGGCCCAUUAUUUAAUCCUAGUUGGUGAGGUAACGGCUCACCAAGGGUACGAUGGGUAGCUGGUCUGAGAGGACGAUCAGCCACACUGGAACUGAGACACGGUCCAGACUCCUACGGGAGGCAGCAGUGGGGAAUAUUGGACAAUGGGCGAAAGCCUGAUCCAGCCAUGCCGCGUGAGUGAUGAAGGCCUUCGGGUUGUAAAGCUCUGUCGUGGGGGAAGAAGUUCUGACGGUACCCCACAAGAAAGCACCGGCUAACUCCGUGCCAGCCGCCGCGGUAA
rnacentral:rRNA from 1 species